rnacentral:misc_RNA from 1 species
GUUGUUAUUAUUUCAACUAAAGAAUAAGUUCGAUAUUAUUGAGCAUUUUCAAUGAUUAAGCAUCAUCUCGAAGUAUAUCACAUGCUAAAGUUGAGAUGUAAUUAGCUCAGUGCGUAUUGUGCGCUCGAGUUGAUAACCAUUGGAUCAAGCAAAGACAUGUGAAUGGGUUUGAGGGGUAAGGACAUUCUCUGAAUUGGAAUCACAUGUGAUCAGAGAAAAGUCAAGUUCCUAUCAGCUUGGAUUUGAUGCCGGGACCGCCUCCACAUGCAGUUUUUGGCAUCGGCAACCUUUCUUGCUUCCACUCAGCAGCCACCCACCAAGCUAGUAGUCACCGUAGUGCUAUUAAGCAUUCUUGCAUGUGAGUGUUAUGUUGCCAAAGGCAAAGCCUGUCUACUAUAUUAUUGUUAUUAAUACCUAAUGGGCUCUCCAAAUUGAGUACACAGGUACCACUGAAAAAUCCAAAUUAAUAAAAAACAAACAGGGCCUACAUACCCCAGACGUUACAAAUACUAACACUCUCUACGCUCUCUCUCCUUUGGAGAGGGCUACCUCUACAAACACUUGCACAAACAUACCAAUUGGCCUUAAAAAACAAGAGGAAAAAGAAAAAAAGAAGAGCAUCGGAUGCCAAACAUUAUGCAAUCCAAUUGUCACUUUUCUCCUAAAAAAGGGUGAAGAAAAAAAAAAUAAAAAAGUAAAGAAAAGAAACACCAAACAUUGGGAACAUUUGUCUCAAGGGGACAAGGGGAGGUUUUGGUUCCUUGUUCCUUGUAUCUUGUUUAGCUUAAAGCCAGUUUCGGAGCAAGAGGAAAGGGAGCCUUGUCAUAUGAAUUUAAGAGUAGAAAUUGAGGCGAGAGGUGUAAGUUGCUUUUGGAGACCAGUUUCUUGGAAUAACAUCUCUUGCAGAAAGUGUUCUUCCAGUUGAAAGUGUUGUUAGCUUCACUGAGAAUGGUCCUCUUAAGGGUCCCCUAAUAAUACACCAAUUUGCACCCCAUAGAUGAUUCAUCUCUAGCCACUCACUGCCACCUGCCUGUCAAUAUAAACAUUAAAAAAAUUGAAUCAAAACUCUGCAUUUCUAUUUGUACAGCUAAAUUUUGCAGCUUUCCUUGACCAUAUUAUGGAGAAAAUAGCUUAGAAAGUGAAGAUUAAAGAUUGUGGUCCCCAAUUCACAUGCAAUUAGUCAAUAUGAUUUUGUUGAAGAUGAAAGAAUCAGAGAGGCUGACAAAAGUGCUUGCUUUUGAGCAUACUGGCAGCACUAGACAAACAUGACAAUAAAAUAAUACAAGAUGGGGUUAAUUAGCAAAGGAACAUUAAGGCAAUGUUUAAUUAAUUUCUUGAUAAAGUGGCGAAGCCACACAUGAUUAAUUACUAACGGAUCAGCAAUAAUAGGAAUAGUCUACUCUUAGCAACAUACUUAUCAUUGCUUUUAUUGAAUGACCAUCCCUUCUUUUAGUACAUUUAGGCAUCAACUUCUUUGAGGUAAAUGAGCAAGUGCAGGCUUUAGAACAUGCACCUAAAAGAACCUAAAGUUGCCUUCAACGAUCUUUACACUUUAUUGACCCAACUAGUAUAUCUUUCUCAGUGCAGAGGCCUAAUUAUAAAAUGAGGAAAAACUAUGGUAAAAAUUGGAGAAUUAUAUACAUGCAUAUAAACUUACUUCUCUUAUAUGCAUAGAUCCAACGUCACCGUCACCAUCCUCAAACUCCACUAGAAGGGCUAGCCAAUAAUCUGUUGAACCUUCAUUAACAUGGAAGGCAAUGUUCUUCCCUGGAUAUUUACAUGGGGUCCUACAAUCAUAUGGAUAUAAAGCAGAUUAAAAAUUAAUCCUAACCAAAAUCAACCCAACAAGAAGAAAAUCAAGGGGCAUUUGGGUCGUUUUGAUGGAAAUAUUAGCGUUUGGAGAACAAAUUUAUAAUAAAUAACUAAGAAAUAUACAAGAGGUGACAAAAUAAAAUUGACAAAACAAAACAAAGAGAGACCGUUAAACCAGAAAGAAAAAGACCAAUAACUACAUAGUACACACACAUACCGGCGAAAAAUGACAGGGAUCUCGCCUUGGUUCCUGAGCAGGCCACUCUCACCUGCAAUAGCCAUGCGACCAAAGGCUGCACCGCUGAGGUCAAAGUGGAUGCGUCCAUUGGAGCAGUAGCCACCUGGGCACUCAUCCGUUACAAUUAUGGUCACUGCCCUUCUCGAGCAUAUGCUCUUGUCCAGGCAUUUCACUUUGUAACAUGCGCCGCACCCUUCUCCGUUCUUGAACAGUAUUGGGCUUACUGCACCAACUCUGGCCCUCAGUGGCUUCACGUCCACUAGGGAACCGUACCCACAUGCCCCUCCUGCACAAAACAUGGACAUAAUCAGAGAUGGCUUUUUUAUAGCACAGGAGAAAGAAUAUGAAUGGAAAUUUGAGUUUUAGUGAAAAAAAGAAAAGUAAUACCUCGAUUGCCAUAUGGGUUUGACUGCUACAACAUAUUUGGAAGAGUUGGGAUAAUUUUACUUGUUCGUCUCUAAAUUGGGAUUUUCUUUACAAAUUCCAUGUUAAUUAAUUACUAUAGCAGAGUUUACUCAUGCGACUCACUGAGUUUGAAUAAAAGUAAAAGACUUGCAGAGCCGCACCAGAUUAAGAUCCAAACCACAAUGCCAAGACGUGUUCAGCUAAAGCAGAAAGAAAAGUAAACAUUGGUGGGACCUACCGUCACUACCAUCGCCGUCGGGGCUACCGUACCAAGUGGCAGUAGCCGGAUGCCAAUGCAGGUCGGUUACGCGGUGGGAAACUUGGCCGGAGACAGUUAAACACUUAAAGAACACCUGCAGGAGGAAGAAACACAAGAGCUGGCUGGAGCCGCUGCGGCGCUGCAUUGUGAGAGGUGAGAAAGAAAAAAAGCAGUCGUCGCCACAGCCUCCUCGAAGAUCACUAGAAUGUCACUUUCACGGCGAGCGGCGGAGAACAGCGAAACAACAGUUAAAAAGAAGUUUGCCGACAACUUCCUUUUGUUGUUUCUGUAGGCUGAAGUGAGUGUAGAGCUCUGGUGUCAGGUGCAGUACAUAUAUGGAAGACAAG